AGUAAAGCUAGUGGAGAUGAAAACUGCAGUGCUGUUCAAAUUUCAAGCUGAUAGCAAAACAGGGGACGAAGGCAGUGCUAUGGAACAGUUCCCCCAAGCCUCAAGAGGAAAAGGGAUGAUAAGAGAUCUGCCUUCUCCUGUGAUGACUCAUGGGCCAUGUAGUCCCGUUCCUAGUACUAUUGUGGCAGAUGAAGAGGAAAACUUGGGUUUCCCACCGUUUCUGCCAGAUUUGGAGCCCUUGCACCUGCAAGAUGUUUGCCCACAAGAAGUCAGCCAAACAAGCCUUGAGCAGAAAUCUCCCCCAUUUUCUCGCCGGGAUUAUUAUAAUCAAGAUAGGGGCGCUCGAGAGGCGACUCGCCGGAGCGCCAGGAUAGCUGCCAGACAAUUAGCUGAUUAAGUCUACUUCCCUUGGGAAGAUCCUAUAUAGGUGUUUGCCCGCAAAGGAAUCCUUGCGGAGUCAAUUCGUCGGCUUGAGGAGUGAAAUCGUGUGUAGAGUUCGUACUCCAGUUCCCAGAUCCCGGAUCAAGUUUCCAGCCCAGCCUUGUACCAUGGACUUCUAUGGACUCAGUUUUUGAUUCAUGUUUGCCUUGUUUCAAGUUUGAUCUUGCCAAGUUUCAAGUCUUGCCUUGCCUUGCGUUUUAAACCACGGACCUUGCUUCUCUGAUUCAAGCCUUGUUUUCCAGUUUCCUUCGGAUUUACCUUAAGCCUCAAAGACUAUGGACAGUUCCCCACACUAUAGCUUGCCAAAUAGUGUGUGUUUCGGUGAAGUGGAUUAUAACUUUGGACCUUAAUAUCACAUAUUGGACAUUGUUUUCCUGGACUAUAUUUGACCUUUCCUGAAAGGUCUACUUCUGAACUAUAUUCUACACUUAUUUUUAUUGACUUUAUAUAUUUCCCUAAUAAAGAUAUUAGAUAGA